CGAGUGGCGGACGGGUGAGUAACGCGUAGGAAUCUACCUAGUAGUGGGGGAUAGCCCAGAGAAAUCUGGAUUAAUACCGCAUAAUAUCUAUGGAUUAAAGUGGAGGAUCUUCGGACUUCACGCUACUAGAUGAGCCUGCGUAAGAUUAGCUUGUUGGUGAGGUAAAAGCUCACCAAGGCGACGAUCUUUAGCUGGUCUGAGAGGAUGAUCAGCCACACUGGAACUGAGACACGGUCCAGACUCCUACGGGAGGCAGCAGUGGGGAAUAUUGGACAAUGGGGGCAACCCUGAUCCAGCAAUACCGCGUGUGUGAAGAAGGCCUGAGGGUUGUAAAGCACUUUCAAUUGGGAAGAAAAGCUAGCAGUUAAUACCUGUUAGCCUUGACGUUACCUUUAGAAGAAGCACCGGCUAACUCCGUGCCAGCAGCCGCGGUAAUACGGAGGGUGCAAGCGUUAAUCGGAAUUACUGGGCGUAAAGCGUGCGUAGGUGGUUUGUUAAGUCAGAUGUGAAAGCCCUGGGCUCAACCUAGGAACUGCAUUUGAAACUGGCAAACUAGAGUAUAGGAGAGGAAAGUGGAAUUUCAGGUGUAGCGGUGAAAUGCGUAGAUAUCUGAAGGAACAUCAAUGGCGAAGGCAGCUUUCUGGACUAAUACUGACACUGAGGUACGAAAGCGUGGGUAGCAAACAGGAUUAGAUACCCUGGUAGUCCACGCCGUAAACGAUGAUAACUAGCCGUUGGGGGGAUUUACCUCUUAGUGGCGAAGCUAACGCGUUAAGUUAUCCGCCUGGGGAGUACGGCCGCAAGGUUAAAACUCAAUAGGAAUUGACCGGGACCCGCACAAGCGGUGGAGCAUGUGGUUUAAUUCGAUGCAACGCGAAGAACCUUACCUGGUCUUGACAUACACGGAACUUUCCAGAGAUGGAUUGGUGCCUUCGGGACCCGUGAUACAGGUGCUGCAUGGCUGUCGUCAGCUCCUGUCGUGAGAUGUUGGGUUAAGUCCCGCAACGAGCGCAACCCUUAUCUUUAUUUGCCAGCACAUCAUGGUGGGAACUAUAAAGAGACUGCCGGUGAUAAACCGGAGGAAGGCGGGGACGACGUCAAGUCAUCAUGGCCCUUACGACCAGGGCUACACACGUGUUACAACGGGAAGGACAAAGGGUCGCUAAGCCGCGAGGUGGUGCUAAUCUCAUAAACCUUUUCGUAGUCCGGAUCGGA
rnacentral:rRNA from 1 species